rnacentral:rRNA from 1 species
AUUGAACGCUGGCGGCAGGCCUAACACAUGCAAGUCGAACGGUAACAGGAAGCAGCUUGCUGCUUCGCUGACGAGUGGCGGACGGGUGAGUAAUGUCUGGGAAACUGCCUGAUGGAGGGGGAUAACUACUGGAAACGGUAGCUAAUACCGCAUAAUGUCGCAAGACCAAAGAGGGGGACCUUCGGGCCUCUUGCCAUCGGAUGUGCGCAGAUGGGAUUAGCUAGUAGGUGGGGUAACGGCUCACCUAGGCGACGAUCCCUAGCUGGUCUGAGAGGAUGACCAGCCACACUGGAACUGAGACACGGUCCAGACUCCUACGGGAGGCAGCAGUGGGGAAUAUUGCACAAUGGGCGCAAGCCUGAUGCAGCCAUGCCGCGUGUAUGAAGAAGGCCUUCGGGUUGUAAAGUACUUUCAGCGGGGAGGAAGGCGAUAAGGUUAAUAACCUUGUCGAUUGACGUUACUCGCAGAAGAAGCACCGGCUAACUCCGUGCCAGCCGCCGCGGUAA